GUCCACGCUGUAAACGAUGUCUACUAGCCGUCGGGGUCCUUAGUGACUUUGGUGGCGCAGCUAACGCGAUAAGUAGACCGCCUGGGGAGUACGGCCGCAAGGUUAAAACUCAAAUGAAUUGACGGGGGCCCGCACAAGCGGUGGAGCAUGUGGUUUAAUUCGAUGCAACGCGAAGAACCUUACCAGGUCUUGACAUCCUCGGAACUUGGCAGAGAUGCCUUGGUGCCUUCGGGAGCCGAGUGA
rnacentral:rRNA from 1 species